rnacentral:lncRNA from 1 species
UCGGUUUGGUGCUGAUUUCUUGUGACUGAGGAUUUCAUGGAAUCAGCCCUCUCAUAGCCAUUGGAAGCUCUACUAUAUAUAUCUCUCCUGCUCGGCUAUUGGAAGACAGAACUUGGAAAAGCUUUAAUUAGUCUCAUACGUUCUAUUCAAUAGCGAUUCUGAGUUUCUUUCCAGCAACCCUUUUGUAUUGUUCUUAAAUUGUAUUAUGCUGGAAACUUGAUAGUCGAUAAUCAAUAUCCUUGUUCU